rnacentral:lncRNA from 1 species
UAGGGACUGCUGGAAAUGGUAUUAAUAACAGAGGAAAUUAUAACUUACUAUAUUUCCCCUGUCCAGAUAAAUUUUCGUACAGUUUCUGUCUAUGAAUGAGAAAAAUCACUGGUGGUAUCAUUGUCAGUGUUGAUUUUUUUUUUGUUUAAUUACUUAGAAUUAUAUAUGAUUUUUUUGCCACUGUUUGGGAAGAGUUGUGAGUUUGUGGAGCCGUCGGAGCAGUCAUGGCUUGGCUUACAUGCUUGUAAUUUCCAUCUUUUCCUGACAACAACGGAAUCAUCCAGUACACAACUCAACAGAUAUUACCGUGAAUAUCAUCCGCGGUGUCAAGUGAAUCCGGAAACCACAAAUUUUAUCGCUUCGGAAUACAUUAAAAGGUACCUAGCUAAAUCCUGAGAGAAGUAAGUGGUAGUCACCAGGGCUGUACAGUAUAGCUACCAGGGUCCUCUAUCAACCAUUCACCUGCGCUCCUCUUCCUGCACCUCUCAUAGUGUGUUUCUGUGUCUGGUGCGUAGGGGGUGAUUCAUUCUUUGAUGCCUCUGUCUAUUCACGCCCCAGCUGAUGCCCAUGUAAACUCGCUCCCUCGAGUUUUCACAAUGAUGGAAGCCUUUUCAAACAGCCAGGCUUCACUGAGUCGGGCGAAGCAAAGUGACGGCAAGAAGAGAGGAAUAUGCCAAAUUUGUGAAAAGGAAUGGAAUCUCAAUAGCGACGGCAUGAUUCGUCAGCACAAACACAACUCGGGACGUUGCCUCGGCUCUUGGGGGGUCCCCAAGGAGAAUACUACUUGUAUUGACCCUCGCAAGCAGCUGUGGGCGACACCCCUCCCAACCCCAGCUCAACAUUAAACCUACUGGCCACCAUCAGGCAUUACAGUCAUAAAUAAUUUUCUUAUUGAGAAUUAAUUUGUCUGAAUUCCUCUUCAACAUAAGAACUGUCAUAGAAGACUAGGCAUUCCCUCACCUGAAACCUCCAAGAUAAAGUUAGAAGAGGACAGCACCAUUGCAACAAUCAUGUAAGUUAGCAGCUACAUCACAGGCUGUCCAAGACAAGCACCCACCUGGACCUGUAAGCAUCACUGACAUGGAAACAUUAGUUUUUCAAGAGACAGAGGAACAUAAAGCUGCCAUGUCUCUACCACCUGGAUCACCCCCCCUGGGAGUUUUACUAAAGCAUGAAAUAAUGCAAAAAACAAGGCUUCCUUAACCAAAGUUUGAAAUAAUCUCAGUACUGUGCUAAAGAUGUGAUGCCUAAAGUUGGAGGUCCAAUUAUUUUUGUAAUUCAUUCAUUAACUAUAAUAAUAAAGUACUCUACUUGGCAUUAAGCCUUACUGAAUAGAACGUAUUAAUAUUAUACACAUUAUUCCUAUUUAUUCUUAAGCUAACUUAAUGUAAGGUCAUCAUUUAGAUUUUAUUGUACAAUUUAGUCUUGGCACAUUAUUUUUUAAAAUUAGUAAAGGAAGUCUCAUUUGUUGCUGUUAUUUCACGUUUAGUAGAGCUGGUCAGCAAGUGGUGGAAACCCUCAACACUUAUUUGGUUAGUUGCUGUUGCUGACUGACCGACUGUGUCUCAUGACCAAACUAACCAUAUUUUUUCAGUAUUUGCCUAGUUGGCAGUAUUUCUGGGACACUUAGGUUCCUCUUCUUUGGGGCAUCUUUCUAAGCUUUGAGAAAGAAAGAUGAAAGGAUAAAACCCAUCCCUGUUGUUAAUACUUUGCUGACUCUUUGCCUGCCAAGGCUGCUGGAAAACCAUUACAUGCUUGAACCAAGACAACAGUAUAGUACUGUACUUGUAUCUGCAAUUUUCCAAGGCAGCAUUAACUAAUACUGUCAGUUUCACAGACAAAUAAAUGUUGGUCAACCUUUAUAUCGAAAUGUCCUUCAACUUGGCAUUUUUAGUGAUAUAUUAUUUUUUUAUGAAAUCCAGCUAGCAAAAUUGUGCGGCACCUUUUACAGGCUACAAACAUUUACAGUCUAUUUACAACAUUUUUUCAGAAGUCAUACUUGUAUAAUUAUCGUGGCUGCCUUGUGGUCAUGGCUGGGGUUGCUUUAAGCAGUUUCCUUGUGUCGACUGCAGGAAUAUUAGAAAUAAUUUAAUAUAUUUAUGAAAGUGAAACAGGAUGCGCCAUGGAAUAGAAUUAUGAAAGUGGAUACCUGUUGAAUCCAUGAAGUGUGUUUACUCAGAGCUGUGUGUUGCUGUGAGUGGUAGUAAUUAAUCUUCAUCUCCCAAUAUUGAAAGUCGUAAACCUGUUGCUGGCACACGUGGAGGUAGAGCUAAGAGAAAAGAUAUCACAGUAUAAUAGGCAGAUGUUAAGAGUAUUUUUGUUUCAAAUAAAAUGUGUUCGCACUGAAUGUUUAAAUGAAAGCUAUAUCACACAUGUGAUAUCUUAUAAAGUACAGUACUGUACUUGGAAAUGACAUACUACAUAUCUUCGUUGAUGAGGACUUACUUAACCAAGGAAGGAAGGAGCCUGUGCGAGAUUAGUUCUUCCACAGGUAAAAUAAAACAGCAUCUCAACCCUCUAGUUUUUAAUUCAAUGUUUCUUUUAAAGGUAGUGAAUUGCCUUUAAAUUUACUUGAUUGUAGUUUUAUGGUAGGUAUCGAUAGACAAGAGCUUGGCCCUGUCAGAAAAUAAGCUUUAUGCAGCUUAAUUAAAGUGAACAUGUAGUUGGAGUACUAUGUACCUGUACAGGGUAAUUUGAUGAUUGAUGUCAGGUAUUUGGCUCAUUACAAUUUUGGCCUUAAGGUGAUAUUAUUUUAAAAUUAUAACUACCCAGUAAAAAAAGUGGCUACUAGCUUAAGCAGUCUCUAGGGCCUGUGUAUCUCUGUUCUAUAUGAAUGGUAGCUUAAGGUUCUCUAGCAAAUUUUAUCUUUGACACACAUUUAUACUUUGUGUAGUCAUAAUAAAUGAAGGUCUCUGGUGUUAUCACUGUUUAUCUUGCCAACGAAUGGUCAAGAGAAUUUUUUUUACCAGUGUAGUUUCUAAUACCAAAAACUAACAUCAAACUUUCUUCUCAAAAACUCACUACAAAAUUACUGGAUCAUGAUAACUCCAGCUGAAGAGUGCCAUAUUUGCUCUUACAGUACUAAUGAAGCUCUCCAUUCCCUUCAAUAAACUGACAAAGAAUGAGCCACAUAUUUUUAAUUGUCUAAUCAAUGAUAUAUGCAGCUAAAAGUGUGUCAACCAACCAUCUGGUCUAGCCAAUAGUAUUAUGGUUUAGCAUUUAACUGUAGGUUGUAGCUUAAGCUAAUGCAACCUACCUGCUGCUCCCAUGUAGUUGAUUACUGUACUGUACAGGUUUUUAUUAGGACCAAUUGAAAACAGAUGGCUUAUGUUGUACUGUCAAUCUUGAAUGAAUGACUUUCAUGCAAGAAAUAUUCUCUAAUCAAGUCUCGGUUUCAUUAUGCUAUGAAUUGAUCAGUACUGUACAGUACUAUGUCACUUGUUAUUGAAGCUUUUGAAAAUGGAGAGGCUACUUCACAAUGAGGAUGACUCUGUUAUUGCUUUAAUAUAUUUUAUAUUAAACCUGUGAAAUAAAAAGGCACUGGUAAUAUUGUACCUCGUGUGAACCCAAGUCUUUAUUCCAUAUCUAUGGCUACAUCUUGGUAGAAUACCUUAAAUAGAGACUAAUCAAGUUGUUUUUUCAUAUGAUGUAGAGAACAGAAGUGUACUUACAAAUGUAUUCUAUUAUUGAAAGUACUGCACAGUGGAGUGAUUCUGCAAUAUCAAAGUCUGUACAGUGCAGUAUUUUAUAUUUUAUUUUCACACAGUACAUGCUGAUGGCCUACUGUAUGGUACAUUUUCAGGGCAUAGCUAAACCCUUCCUUGGUAAACACCUCUAACGAACCUCAUUCUUCAAGUUGGGUGAAUAAGUUAAUAGCAGGGUUCUUCUGCUAGUAUACAGUAGACCUAUGUAGGCUUAAAAUAUUGUAUUUCCCAUAGUGAUUUUUAAGGUACAGUAAUGUAUGUUGACUCAAUGAACUUACAAAUAUUCAGUCAUCAAAUGCCAUUGCAAAGAAGAGGGAAGGAAAUUACCUAGUCCAGUACUGUAGUGUACUUUCUUCAUUUUAUUUUAAAGAUUUGAUUUCUUCUUGGUACUGGGCUGUUACACUAGGAUAGAAAACAAAGAUUUACCAUAAGUGUAGUCAAGACACGGCACCUGGCUUGGGUUCAGUUCCAGUUCUGCCCGAUUAGUUUGAUUCAAUGCUAAUUUCAUCUAGACUAAACCUGUUCCAAUUACUGCCCCAUGUGAUAAAUAGAUAUCUGUUCAGUUGCAGUUUUUUUGCAAUAUUAAACAUGAUGUUGAUUCAUAAAA